UUAUUUCAUCUCUGCUUUUAAAUACUAGAUUGUUUUCUCAUCCAUGAAAAGAAGUAAAGUAUUUCAUUGACACAGAUACUGUGAAUUUUACCCACAGGAAGAAAAUGAAGGGUUAACAUAUUGCUAGUGUUCAUACUUUAAAAGUAUAAAGAGAUGUGAAUUGAUUAAUUGAUUUGAUUUUUUCAUGAAAAUGACAUUUAUCUCAAAAAUAAGCAUCUGCUGUCUUACUGGAGAGAUGGCUUACAGUUUAACAUAAUUUAAGCUUACCUUGAAAACAUUUUUCUUCCUUUACUGUUAUCUAUAUGAUACAACAGGGAGAAAACAAUACAUUCAGAGAGGAGAGGGAAAAUAAGAUAAUUCUAUAAUGUUUCCAAAUCAUUGGGCGGAUCAAAUAGUAUUUCAUCUUCUAUUGACAGAAUUUUAAAAACAAAAUAUAUAUAGCAAUUUGCCUUAAAACUUAUCCUUUAGAGAUAAUUAAUAACAAAAUGUUCUCAGAGUAGAUUUUAAUGUUUAGACUAUUAGUAAGAUUUCAGAUGAUUGAAACAAAGCAUCUUUAUUCUUUUCCUUUGUAGAGCUUAGAUUGUUAAACAUUAUUUCUGUGAGAGACCAGGGAAGAUAAAGGUCUACCAUAAACAUAAGUAAUGAGAUAACUCUUCAAGGAUAAAUUUGGUCUAGAAUUAUUGUUAUGAGGUUAUAUUCUUUUAUAGAAUUUUCUAAAUCAAAUCUUGUUCUUAAAAACAAUAUUUAGGUAAUCUGACUUAAACUUUUAUCUUUUUUUAUUUUUAUUUUUUAUUAUUAUUAUACUUUAAGUUCUAGGGUACAUGUGCAUAACGUGCAGGUUUGUUACAUAUGUAUACUUGUGCCAUGUUGCUGUGCUGCACCCAUCAACUCGUCAGCACCCAUCAACUCGUCAUUUACAUCAGAUAACCACGGAGGCCCAGCUUCAUUCAAUAAGGAGCCUGACGGAUUUAUCCCAGACAGUAGAACAAAAGGAAGAAUAUUGAUGGAUUUUAAACCAGAGUUUUUAAAGAGCUUGAGAAUACGGGGAAAUUAAUUUGUUCUCCUACACGCAUAU
rnacentral:lncRNA from 1 species